UUAUUUUAUAAAAAUAAUAAUUUGCAGUAAAAACUGCCAUUGAGACCUAAUAAUCAGACUUCAUUCACUACUAUACAGAGCUCUUUUCUUUGAAAGGAGUUCAGAUUUUUUCAGUAAUGACCUCUAUUAGCACCCAUAUAGACAGGAAGAGCAAGCAAGUGCUCAUAUCCUAGCCAACACCUUUUUGAAAGAGAUUGAAUAGAGUGCUUUAAAUUCAAAUGGUAUGUUUCCAAAUAUGUAUGAAAGAAAAUCAACCUGUCCAAAAAAUGAAUGAAAAUAAUGUGCAGGAGUAUGACAGAACGUUGAAACUUUUCCUGAUGUCCUGUUCACGGUAUUUUCAUGUCACUUGUGUAAAUUAUCAGAAAUUUACGCAUCAGUUUGGAACCUUACUUUAUCUCAUCUUUUUCAACAGGUUCUUUCAGUACAACCUCCUAUAUAUAAGCUACAUGAAUAAUCAGAGAUUCUGCUGUCUAAUUACCACAUAUGAUCUUGGGGAUCCUUUCAACAGUUCAAAUGCUCUCACUUCUAGAAAGCUGUAAUGCUUGAAUAUGAAAGAUUCCCAUAUCAUUGUCAUGGUCACAAAGUUAAAGUCUAGGUUGAAGGCUCUGGAAAAUGACUGUGGAAUAAUCCUUGACAGUUAAAACCUUCAUAUGCAUUUUUGGUAUAACUUAGUAUUAUCUUAGCCCAAAACAGGAUAGCAGAUAAAAACUUCUGGUCAGAUCAGAGCACUGAUUCCCUUGUAUUUGUAGUCAAGACUGUGUUUCAAACUCAAGCAAAAAUGUAGGGUGAAUCCUAACAAAGACCAACUUAACAAAAUUUUGGGUUUAUUUGUUUAUUUUUUGUAAGUAAGAAUAAAUUUUCCAGAUUCAGUGUAUAGAUUAAACUUUUUGCACAGCCUUUGCUUCUUUUCACAUACCACAAUUUGCUGGAACCAAUACUGCAUGAGAUAAUUCAUUGGAGAUAGAUGAUGCAAAUUCACCAGCUCAGCAUAUCCCUAUUGAAGACGUUGCACUAUUAGAUGUACACAAUAUGUUUAUUCUUCUUUCUCAGCAAUUAGCCUUUCUGAUACAGUCAGUGUUUCAUCUCAGCAUGAAAUAACAUUAGAUAACAUUGCAUUCUGAGGAAGUUGAAAAAACAGGGCUCCGCAAGUGAGAAUGAAUUAGAAAUGCUCUUGCAGUAGAGGCCCUAGAGUUACAAACAAGAAGCUGAUGAAUGUAUUUAGCAAGGGACUUUAAGUAAAAUCUCUCUUCUGCUGAAAAUUUCUUAUUCUUUAGAAUAUUCUGCUUCUGAAAGGCAUUUUUUGACAAGUGCCAAAAAUAAUUUCUAUACAUUGUUAGUACUUUCCCAAUCAGUCUUUUUUUGUUGUUGUCCUUGUUUGUUGUUUUAUUUUUAACAAAAUGCAUGUGGCCAGAGGACAUGUUAUUACUAUUGAUAUUCUGAAAAUGAGCAUGAUUGUCUGUGCAAUCUAAAUUUCUUUUGCAGAAAUACAUACAAUGGAAAGGUAAAUAAAGUGAUUAAGUCUUAAAGAAAAACAGGCCUGAGGGAUUAUAUUAUUCUUACCUAACUUGGAACACUUAGUAAGGCAAUAUCUCAGCUUGAUUAUAAUCAAUAAGAGUUUAUAUGAUGUGAUUAAUUUAACUUAUUUUGGAUACUUACAGUAGAACAUGAUGGACUGAGUCAUACCUAUAAUCAUAAUACUCUAUUACCUAUAAAAACAGCUUACAGUGACUAGCUAAGUAUCAAAUUAUAUCCCACAUCAGAUGAAUUUAACACAUAAAUUCUGUUAAUACCUGCUACAAAAUUGUAAGCCGUUUUUUCAAUACAAAUUUUUCCAUACAGGUGUGUUUUCUGACUUCAUUUCAUUCAGUCUGUAGACAUAUACAAACCGUAGAAUACUUUUUAAAUUUCUUUUUAAAAUCUUCUUAUUAUUGACAGUGCACUAGGAGGAACUAUAAAUGCAUUAUGUAUAUGUAUACUUCAUAUCUGAGGAUAACCACAGAUCAAUAAACACUGAUACUAGUUCUACAUUACCAAGUCAGAAAUUAUUUUGCACUAUUUUUGUUGAGUAACACUAUAGUGUGUAAUAUGCACGUGUAUACACAUACAUGCAUCUAACAAUGCAUAUAUAUUUUCAUUCGCAGUCUUUAUUUCACAUAAAAGACAAUAUGAAUUCUUCAGCCUUACUCAGACUUACUUGAGGAACCAUAUUGUAUAUUGUCCUAACAAUACCUGUGAAAAUUUUGUCCUAAGAAAUUCCCUUGUUUUUCCUAUAUUAGCAGUACCAGAUCCCCUCUAAAUGUAAUGCAGUUGGGUGUUUCUUUUUUUAUUCCAAUGCCUGUUUAGUUAAUUUUAUUUUACUGUCUUCAGCUUGCAUAGCAUUAGUACAAGAGCGACAUAACUAAAAGUCAUUAAAAUGUUUCUUUACAUUUCAGGAAACACAAUAGUUGAAACCCUUAUCCUAAUGAAUUCUGGCCCUGAAUUCUAUCGAAUCAGGAUUCUGUUAACUAACUUCUUGGUAAUGUAGUUUUUGGAAUAUAUGCUUACAGGAGACAGUCUUCUAUUCAGCAACAUUUCAUCCUUAUCUUUGCUUCCUGAUGCUAACUGAAUUGAAGCAAAAGCAGGAAACUGGGCCUUUUGCUUUUCCAAUAGAUGUAUGUGAUGCAGCAGAUAGUUACAAUCAGAUUGAAGACUACAUUUCAGCUGUCAAAUCUUUCCCAUUAGGACUCAUGAGAAUGAUUUCCGAGAUUGUCGAAGCCCUAAAUUGCUACUGAAUGACCUGAAUAUUCUUAAUUUUUCUACCAGAAUAAAUAAUGUGAUUCUUUUGUACAAAGUGGGAAAGGUUCCACAAUUUUAGUGGCAUUUUGAAAAGAGGUACAUCUGAUUAAAUGAAAAAGGCUAUGUGUUGGAUUUCACUUUGUUUUGCAAUUUCAGAAUAUCUGAAAUAUUUCUGUAUAGUUUGUAAGAGUUUCAUGCUGUUCCUAGGGUGUAGUUCAUUGUCCUAAAGUAUGCUUUUAGCUAUCAGUAUUAAAAUUGCUACAAAACUUUGAAGAGCGCAAUGGAAUAAUUACCUUUGUGAGUAAAGCGCCUAUAAAGGCAAGAUGAAUCAACGAGCUUAAGCUACAUGUUCCAAUAAGAUUUCUUUUUUUUCUUUUCUUCUUUUAUAAUAAAAGCUUGUAAGAAUCCUAGAACCUCUGAUUCAACAACUUUAAGCUUAAGGCAGGCCCAUUCAGAAAGCAAUUAAAGAUGCCAUGGGUAGAGGGCUUUGUGAGGCAUUUUCUGCUUACUCCUUCAUGCAAAAGGCGUCUCCCAGCACUGUUUCCACUAAAUAUUUGACUUUAAACCCUCUUUUAUUAUUUAAAAAAUCCAAAACUUUAAAGCUGUGCAGAUUUGAGAUACUUAAAUAGGAUGUUCUCCUGCAUCCUGAAAAAAAGUCUGUCUGAAGUUAUAGUAGAUCAGGAUUAUCUUGGUGGAAUGACACUUGGUUUUAAACAAUGUAUUUUCUGUAAUUUUGUUAUGACUUUUUUUCACAUACACAGAAUACAACUUAUACAGUACCGAUAUCUAGAAUGCUACUUUGCUUAGUUUAUCUAGAGUUGAUACCUUUUUGUAUUUAACAUACGGCCAUUCUUAUAUUACUGUACCUUUCUGCUCACUGUAUCAUUAGCACAAAAAAAGAAGAAAAGGUCUCUGAAUUCCUUUUAUUUCUAGUUUCCAGAAAGACUCUAAGCAUCUUUAGGAUCUGAAUGAUACCUUUCUGGCUAUGUUCUGUCAUUGCAGCUGUAGACUUGGAAAGUUCUUUAUUUUUUAGUUCUGCUUACUACAAAUUUUGGAAUUUAAGGCCUACAGUUCUUCAGAAGUUUGAGCAUCUUAUUACGAUCAGAUUUGUUAGGAUAUCACAGGCCUUUUCAAAGCUUGGAUUAGGAAUUAGUAUCUGCCUUGGAGACUAUUGUGGUUUGUUUUAAUUCUUAACUAGUCUACAUUUGUCUUCUAAAUGUACUUCUGAAAUUUAAACACUUUGUAUCAUGAAGGCGGCUAUGGUUGCAUGAUUUUUGAUAACACAUCUCUGUUAAAUAUUUAAAUGGUUAUUUCAUACAUAGAGUUUUGAAACCCCAGUUGUCUAAAUAAGUCUCUACCUUGAGAAAAUAUUUCAGAAAAAUUUUCAUAAUCAUCAGUGAAAUAACAAGUAAAGACAACAGUCUUGCCAAAGAAUUAAAUGCUGGCUGCAGAAGCUAUGUAAGUAUCCUAAUGAGUUGAAUGAGGAAAAAAUACCUCUUGGAAGUUAAAUAUUUUAUUUUAAUUAUUUAUUUAUUGAGUGGCAUCUUCAAGUAAAUUCAUGCACAACUCAUAAUGUAACAAGACUAGACGUUCAGAAAUUUUUGAAGUGAAUCAGUGUGGCUCACUGUUUUUUCUGUUGAUUGGAGCAGUUGUAGAGGUAAUAAGACUGAUUGCAAUAAGAAAGUCUUGACAUAAAAUAGCUGCUAAAAUGUGUUAAGGAAAAGUCUGCCAACUAGAAAGCUGAACCUGAGAGCUAGAAACCUUGAGGUACGACUGAACAUCUCUUAUGGAUGGUACCCUGAACAUACUACUCCAUUGUUAAGACCAAAUAGAGGAAGGGAGGAAUGUUUUAUCACCUAAGGAAGGGGAGAUCAGUGUGAGGAAUAAACUUUAGAUGAAAUAAGAAAUAUUAUCUAUAGACUGUAUCAGGAAGAGGACCUAAACUAACAGGACCAAUUUUUUACCUAAGCAGUGGUGUCCUACUAAAAUGACGAUUUUUGCACAAGAUGGAGCUUCCUUCUGAGAAACUUCCAGUGUUCUAUGUUCUGUUUCUUUGUCCUGGUUUCUUUUUUUUUUCCUUAAACAGGCUGAAGUUUCACUGAAACUUUGGUUUGACCAUGUGCCUUGACAGCAUUGACUCCAAAACUCUAACACUCCAUGCCUGGUGAUACUGAUCAGUGUUGAAGUGAGACUCCACUUUAUACUCCUUUUGAGCCUUUUUCUGUGGACAGACUGUUUUCUUUUGAUAACUGUUUUAUUUUGAACAUUUGGCAGUCAUUUUUCUUUGUGGCAGUUGCUUCAUUUUUUACUCUUGUGGUGGUUGGUUUUCUUUUUGGUAAUUAUUUUUUGUCUUUUUGGUAUUUGAUUUUCUCUUGGAGAUUGUUUUAUUGACACACACACUACAUUCUUUCCCCCUUCUGGGAUCUGUUUGAUGCAAUUGGUAACAGUAAUUCUAUGAAUAUGUAUGUAUAUAAUCUGUCAUAAGUCUAGUCUUGACAAGUUUGCAUUUUUACUGUUGUAAUAUUCUUGCUAGUUGUAACAGAAAUGCUAAGUCAUGGUCUGAAACAGUGACUGAGUACCUGGUGGGAAAGCAGGACCAACCCAGAGGAACUCAGGUGCAUGCAAUGAACCUGAGUAACCAGAAGGAGUGCAUCCUGGCUCCACCCCUUCCCAGACCUCAUUUAAGGGUUGGAAGUGGAGGUGAGAGUGUUUUGCUGGAGAUCUUUCCCUAUCUGAGGCCUUCUGAAGGUAAGUGGUUUUUCUUCAUUUCUGUGGCUGCUGUAUCUGGGCUUCUUCUUGUUUGCUGUAGCCUGGGGUUGUGCCACUCUGCUGUUAUUGCUGUACUUUCUAUCAUGUUACAGUAUUUCACUAGUGGUGAAUUGUGUUGAUUUCUAAUAAACAGAAAUAUUUAGUGAACAAAGCCUUUGUGUUUUUAAUAUCACAGAAUCCUACAUCCAUGAUAUUUUAUGAUUGUUAAGUACCCUUAGGUUAGGUAGCUUCCUUUCUCUUUUGGGCUGUGACAGCUACUUAAAAAGCUGAAAAAUAAGCAGUCUCAGCUGGAUUGACUGCAGUGGGAUUUAGAAGUCUAGAAGUCAUUUCACAUUGAGUCUGGAUUUAUUUCAUAGUUAUGCAAUGAUAAUUGUGUUAUUUAUUAUUAUUGUACUUGUAUAUUAGUAUUUUAGUUGUAUUUAUAUGGUACCAUCAAGUAAACUGUAUGAAUUUAUAACUCAACUGAUCAGAGUAAGUGAAAGUUGCUCAUGUUCUUAAAACUAAGUAUGCCUACUAAUGUAUAUGUUAAUUGUUUUAUUUGGGCUACACAGCUGGUAGUGUGAGAAAGUAUAAAUUUUAUCUAAGUAAGAUUUUUCUGGAAUAAAGAAGAGCAUAAGAUCAAUACUGUAGUAGGGCCAGAAGGAUAUAGGUUACUGGAAGAAGACUACUUAAUGAAGUGUACAAAAAUAAAUUGACAAAAAAAGUAAAUUAGCAAAAGUCAAUUUCUUACACUCUGACUUUUGAGUCCUAAAGGAAUUGGGUUUUGAAAGCACCACAAAUUAAAAGCAGAGUAAGAAGCUGUUUGAUUAAAUGCAGACUAAAGUUUAUAAAAAUCACUUAUUGCUAGUUAUUUGUGAUUUGUUAAGAGUAAUUUGGUUCAGUUUAUUGAUCAAACAAGCUUUGGAGGACAGGGGAAUUAAGCUUCUGUCUAGUACAUGUGAUCUGAAAUAUAUCAAUAGAUAGCUUCAAAAAUUUUAAACUAGCUCAAGCACUUCAGAAAGUUAUUUAUUUUAUUUCUUUAGUGACAAACUGGCCUCUCUUAUGCCUGAUAUACCAGGACCGUUUGCCGCCUGAUAGACUGAGAAAAUACUAUGGCAUUAUAUUUUGCCUCUGAAAAUGAAAUCUGGAAGUGACUUUUAUUUACUUGCCUUAAUACAGUAAUUUAACAAAACAAGUUUCAGUGGAAUAACACAGCCAUGCAGCUGCUUUCCUCCUUGAAAGCAAGUGUUCAAACAUUCUGUCAGUUUGAGAAGGCUGGGUUGUGUAGUUUUAUCCUAAUUUUUGGUGGACAUUUGUCUUAAUGUGUAAUGAAUGACAAUCUGGCAUGGUUAACAGACUUCACUCUUGAAACACUCAGGACCAGAAGAACAGAGGCAUUGGAAGCCAAGUCUGCACAACACAGAGUGGGACACAUGGAGAACCUUGCUAUACAGUACAUAUGAUUUUUCAGAUUGGGCAACAAAGAACAAAAAGAUUUGUGUUAAAACAGCCAGUGAGCUAGACUCUUUUCAGUAGUGCCCAGUACCAGGACAAGAAGUGAGCGAAAACUGGAACAUAGGAGUUUCCAUCUCAACUGUCAUCUAUGAUUCUGUGAUCUGGAAGAAAUUAUGAUACUUGCAGAAAUGGAAAAGCAGUAAGGCUUGGCACCAGACUCCAGUGAAAUGAACAGAUUCCAGGUGAACAUGAUGAGAACACAAUCUAACAAACAGCCAUGCUUUGGCUGCCUGCUCUGAUAACAGCAGCUGCUUGGAAAACUAAGCUGCUUCACAAUUGAAAGAGUGUUGAAAGAAAUCUUUUUCAAAAUCAAGAGUGGAGGAUUUAUCAGUCCAGACUCGGAGAAUAUAGUGCAUGUUGUCCAGCUGUCACAUCACAAAGCUGAGAAGAAGACAUGCAAAAUGAAGAUGUAGGCACAAAGGCUGAAGGCAGAUGGGACCUGUAGUGAACUGCUGUGCUUGUGUUUCUUUCUGUUACUAAAAGGAAUUUGUUACGCUAGUGAUUUUAAAUGAUUUGUGGCUGACAGUUUUAGGUUUAAUAAUAGUAAACCAGACAACAUCUGGCAUGGUGAAAUAAAAUUAUUUGAUAUGUAACUUAGCUCACACCCCCAACACACACACACAAAUGAAAAUUAAUGUGCAAAUAAGAAACUUUUUUUGAAGUACAUAUUGAGCCAUCAUUUUUAAUGGAUAACAGAAGAACAUGGGAUGAAGAUUUUUUCCUGAAGUUUUAUUACAUAAUUAAUCCAAAUUUCUUUGUGUAAUUUGGAAGCUUAUAAUGAGAACAGGUAUUAUUCCUCCCCAGAUAUUACCAUCUUUUAAAGAUUUUUUUUAAUAUUUGUGUUAGUAUUAUGGUUAUUUCUGCUUUAGUUCUUCUUCUGAUGCCUUCUUGAAUGGGCAGUGUCAAGGCCAUGUUCAACAAUGGCAAAUCACAAAAAAAUAUUUUUUUCAUAAAGUCAUAAAUUCCUCUUCAUGAACUGCAAAUGAGUCUGUACAUGAAAAUGUGGUGCUCAAAUUCAUUGAUAAUGAGAGUAUACCUCACUGGAGUUUUUACCAUAUUACCUAAAAUGAAUGCGUGCUUUAAGACGUGUGAUUGGCUGAAUGACUCUGUAUUUCUGUGUGGCUGUGUGCAUGAAUACACAUGCAUGUGUACAGUUAUUUUAACUGGGAAUGUAAAGGCUCUAGAGGUGAGUCCGAAAUAGCAUAGAAGUCUACUCUUAUUUUGAUUAAAUAAAAUAUUAUUGCUCACAAUAUCUGUGAAAGAUCUUAAAGGUUGCUUGAAGUCAUUUUUAAAUGUUGCGCAUAUUACUUAUUACACUCAACAAGCAUAGCUAAUUGGCAUAACUGAGUACAUGAAUAACAAUAUGUGGCUUAAAACUACAAAAGAAAAGGAAAUUAUAUUUAUUUCCUAUAAAUAAAAUAUUACCUACUAUGUAUUAUUUAUAUUACAUAAAUUUAAACAAUGUAUAAUACAUGAGGAUAAAUUUACUGUAUUUGGAGCAAAAUUAACUGAGCUGUCUCUGAGGACCUUUAUUAAUAUUGCAGAACCAGUAUUAUACUACUGUAUAAUUGAUUUUUGAAGACUAUUUUGCAUAUGUUUUCCUAAAUCACAUCACUUAAGCUAGAAAAUUUUACAUAUCAUGGGCCAGGCAGAUAACACCAUGACAAAGGUGUGUUGUGAAGCAUGAGACAAUGUACUUUAAAAUUC
ensembl:lncRNA